rnacentral:rRNA from 1 species
ACGGGAGGCAGCAGUCGGGAAUAUUGCGCAAUGGAGGGAACUCUGACGCAGUGACGCCGCGUAUAGGAAGAAGGUUUUAGGAUUGUAAACUAUUUUAGACAGGGAAGAAAAAAGACAGUACCUGUAGAAUAAGCUCCGGCUAACUACGUGCCAGCAGCCGCGGUAAUACGUAGGGAGCAAGCGUUAUCCGGAAUUAUUGGGUGUAAAGGGUGCGUAGACGGGAAUUUAAGUUAGUUGUGAAAGCCCUCGGCUUAACUGAGGAAUUGCAACUAAAACUGAAUUUCUUGAGUGCAGGAGAGGAAAGCGGAAUUCCUAGUGUAGCGGUGAAAUGCGUAGAUAUUAGGAGGAACACCAGUGGCGAAGGCGGCUUACUGGACGAUUACUGACGCUGAGGCUCGAAAGCGUGGGGAGCAAACAGGAUUAGAUACCCUGGUA